rnacentral:rRNA from 1 species
UACGUAGGGGGCAAGCGUUGUCCGGAAUCAUUGGGCGUAAAGAGCGUGUAGGCGGCCAGGUAGGUCCGUUGUGAAAACUCGAGGCUCAACCUCGAGACGUCGACGGAAACCAUCUGGCUAGAGUCCGGAAGAGGAGAGUGGAAUUCCUGGUGUAGCGGUGAAAUGCGCAGAUAUCAGGAAGAACACCCGUGGCGAAGGCGGCUCUCUGGGACGGUACUGACGCUGAGACGCGAAAGCGUGGGGAGCGAACAGG